UGAAAGUCUGAUUGGUCUUAUCGUUGCUCGAUAAGACCAUGAGACUUUCAGG
rnacentral:pre_miRNA from 1 species